GAUGAAGAACGUAGCGAAAUGCGAUAAGUAAUGUGAAUUGCAGAAUUCAGUGAAUCAUCGAAUCUUUGAACGCACAUUGCGCCCGCCAGCAUUCUGGCGGGCAUGCCUGUUCGAGCGUCAUUUCAACCCUCGAGCCCCCCCGGGGGCCUCGGUGUUGGGGGACGGCACACCAGCCGCCCCCGAAAUGCAGUGGCGACCUCGCCGCAGCCUCCACUGCGUAGUAGCACACACCUCGCACCGGAGCGCGGAGACGGUCACGCCGUAAAACGCCCAACUUCUUAGAGUUGACCUUGGAUCAGGUAGGAAUACCCGCUGAACUUAAGCAUAUCAAUAAGCGGAGGA
rnacentral:misc_RNA from 1 species